GCGGAGUCGGCGCAGACCCGGAGCGCGGGGCCUCGCCCCCCUCUUUCUGCGCGGGUUUCCUCGACUCCAGGUACCAGCGCCGAUGGCUGAACGUUAGCUAUCAAUUCCUGGACGAGAGGAAGAGACAGAUAGGUUCCCUGCACCCGAGAGAGCCGUGUCUCUGUGACCUGGAGAACGGCUGUAAGGGCAGAGGGACCAGUGAGAAGCCGGUGACACGGCCCAGCCCUGGUGAAAGGAGGAGCUUCCCCAAGGAGAUAAACUUAAAAAAAGAGAGAGAGAAUUGGGGCCCGCACUGUGGCGUAGUGAGUAAAGCCGCCGCCUGCAGUGCUGGCAUCCCAUACGGGCGCCGGUUCAAGUCCUGGCUGCUCCACUUCUGAUCCAGCUCUCUGCUGUGGCCUGGGAAAGCAGUGAAGGAUGGCCCAAGUCCUUGGGCCCCUGCACCUGCGUGGGAGACCCGGAAGAAGCUCCUGGCUCCUGGCUUCAGAUCGGCGCAGCUCUGGCCAUGGCAGCCAUUUGGGGAGUGAACCAGUGGAUGGAAGACCUCUCUCUCUCUCUCUGCCUGUCCUUCUGUUUCUGUGUAACUCUUUCAAAUGAAUAAAUAAAUAAACCAGAGAGAGAGAGCGCUGAUUGAGGCCAAAUGAAUUUCCCCUGAGCAAUCCAGCAUGCUUAGAGCGAUCCAGCAAUGCCCCCUCUCCCCCCUCCAAAGGAAGGUGCCAGUGCUGCGCUGCCUCCCGCCUCCUCUUCCUAGGACGGAAGCGGAAGAGAAGGGCAGGGAAUGGGCUCGCUGAUGGGCACCCAUUACCCAGAAUCUCACACACAGCAUCCGCGAGCAUUGCUGGAGCUUCCAGGGCGCUCUGUGCCUCAGGCGCUCGGGUUAAAGCUUUCCCGAUAGAGCUAACCCAUUACUGCCCUGUAACCCUGCAGAAAGGGUGCUACACCACCCCUAUUUUAUAGAUGGGGACACUGAGGCUGCAGAGCCACCGCCUCACCAAUAGGACCGCAACGCAAUAAAUACCUCCCAGAGCUCGCACCCUGAAGCAGCUCCAGGGUCUGCACUUCUGAGUGGCCGGCGGGAGGCCAGAG